CCUACGGGGGGCAGCAGUAGGGAAUCUUCCACAAUGGGGGAAACCCUGAUGCAGCGACGCCGCGUGAGUGAAGAAGUACUUCGUUACGUAAAGCUCUAUUAGCAGGGAAGAAAAUGACGGUACCUGAGUAUUAAGCCCCCGCUAAUUACUGGCCAGCAGCCGCGGGAAUACGUAGGGGGCAAGCGUUAUCCGGAUUUACUGGGUGUAAAGGGAGCGUAGACGGCAGUGCAAGUCUGGAGUGAAAGGCGUGGGCUCAACCCGCGGACUGCUCUGGAAACUGUACGGCUGGAGUGCAGGAGAGGUAAGUGGAAUUCCUAGUGUAGCGGUGAAAUGCGUAGAUAUAAGGAGGAACACCAGUGGCGAAGGCGGCUUACUGGACUGUAAUUGACGUUGAGGCUCGAAAGCGUGGGGAGCAAACAGGAUUAGAUACCCCGGUAGUC
rnacentral:rRNA from 1 species